CGAUUAGAGUUUGAUCCUGGCUCAGGAUGAACGCUAGCUACAGGCUUAACACAUGCAAGUCGAGGGGAAACGAUAUUGAAAGCUUGCUUUCUUUAGGCGUCGACCGGCGAAUGGGUGAGUAACGCGUAUCCAACCUGCCCCUGAGUAAGGGAUAGCCCAUCGAAAGAUGGAUUAAUACCUUAUGGUCUCCUUUGCAGACAUCUAAUUAGGAGUAAAGAUUUAUCGCUGAGGGAUGGGGAUGCGUCUGAUUAGCUUGUUGGCGGGGUAACGGCCCACCAAGGCAACGAUCAGUAGGGGUUCUGAGAGGAAGGUCCCCCACAUUGGUACUGAGACACGGACCAAACUCCUACGGGAGGCAGCAGUGAGGAAUAUUGGUCAAUGGACGGAAGUCUGAACCAGCCAAGUAGCGUGCAGGAUGACUGCCCUAUGGGUUGUAAACUGCUUUUAUACGGGGAUAAAGUCAGGGUCGUGACCCUGUUUGCAGGUACCGUAUGAAUAAGGACCGGCUAAUUCCGUGCCAGCAGCCGCGGUAAUACGGAAGGUCCAGGCGUUAUCCGGAUUUAUUGGGUUUAAAGGGAGCGUAGGCCGGAGAUUAAGUGUGUUGUGAAAUGUAGAUGCUCAACAUCUGCACUGCAGCGCAUACUGG
rnacentral:rRNA from 1 species